rnacentral:rRNA from 1 species
ACAUGCCUACAACAUAGCGUUAAUGCACCAGAUCCCAUUAGAACUCCGUAGUUAAGCGCGCUCGAGCUAGAGUAGUAUUGUGAUGGGUGACCGCCCUGGAAGUCCUAGUAUUUUACAUGUC